AAAUUUGAUUUGGUUUGAAAGAAAUUUUACCAUCUUUUUUAUAAAAUUUUUAUAAAAAAUAACUUAGAAAAUAUAAUUUAAUUAAUAAUUAAAAAUUAUUAAGAGAUGGAAUAAAAAUUCUAGCUAAAUUUGUGCCAGCAGCAGCGGUUAAACAAAUAGAAUUUUUCUUUAUUUAAUUUAAUUUAAAAUUGAAUUGUAUUUUUAAUUAAAAUUAAAGGUGAAAUUUUAUUUUAAUAUAGAAAAGAUUUAAAAUUGAAAUUCUGAUUUUAAACUAGGAUUAGAUACCCUAUUAUUAAGAGCUUAAUGUUGUAAGUAAAUACAAAUUACGAAAGCAAAAAAUUAUGGCGGUAUUCUAAGCUUUUCAGAGGAAUUUGCUCUUUAAUGGAUAAAACACCUAAAUCUUACUUUGAUUAGUUAGAUCAGUUUGUAUACCACUAUUAAAAUAAUAACGUACAAUUAUUAUUUAAAUAUAUAAAGUAUUAAAGAUUAAGUCAAGGUGCAGCUUAAAUCAAAGUAUGAAGUGAAUUACAUUACUUAUUAGAGGGAAAAUAUGAAAAAGAAAUUAGGAUUUGAAAGUAAAUUUGAAAUAAAAAGUUAACUUGAAUUAAGCUCUAGAAUAUGUACAUAUCGCCCGUCACUCUUUUUAAGAUAAGUCGUAACAAAGUUAAAGUACUGGAAAGUGUUUU
rnacentral:ncRNA from 1 species